rnacentral:rRNA from 1 species
AAUUGGAGAGUUUGAUCCUGGCUCAGGACGAACGCUGGCGGCGUGCCUAAUACAUGCAAGUCGAGCGGAGUU